rnacentral:lncRNA from 13 species
UAAAGUGCAAUGAAAUAUAUUAAAAAAAUGAUUUUUGGGGUUGCUUUUUAUUAAAAGGAAAACCUUACUGAGGACUUCCUUACCCUCACUAUGUGCCUAAAUAAUUUCUUUUUAACUUUUAUUUCAGUAUUAUGGAUGAUCAGCUCUCUCGGAUGAAAGUAGAAGAGACGGUAGACCAAGUCCUAAACAGUGACACCCAAGUCAUUCUCUUCAAGUGGGAAGAUUAAACCUGGAGCAUUUACUUGCUUGAGGCCAGAAAAAGAUCCAUGAAUGAAUAUUAAUAGAUGCCUGCACCAGAAGAUAUGACAUACCUGGCAAGAAUGUCCAAGGCACCCAAUUAAACACUGAAAUUAGAAAGGUUCUUUGAAUUUAAAAUGACUGGUACUUAACAAAGGAAUCAUAAAAUCUAAAAAACAAAAAAAGCUAUCAUUUAUGUAUCUUAAUCAACAAACCAGGAAGCAGCCACAGCAGCCUGAGAUCUGAACUUGGAGGCCCAAGGGUCAAUGUAAGUGACUGCCAGUCACACUUACGAUGUCACAGCGUAGGACACCUUCUCAUAUCUCAAAUCACUCUCUGCAAUAAU